rnacentral:lncRNA from 1 species
AGGUGGUGGGGCGCCAGACCAGCGGGUGUCUUCACUUCUCUCCAAAAAGUUUUUGAACUCCCCUGCAAAUUAAACGCGUGUCGCUGCCAAGCAGGGGCCCUGCCAUGCAGGUCUGUCCCAAUACCCUCCAGUUACGAGGCUUUUUUUUUUUUCCCCUCCAGGGAAGGCCUGGAUUUGAAUGGGACUCUAGUGCCCGGGGAGUUGUUUCAUCUGAACGAGGUGACACGCCCACCCGCUGCCCCCGACCCGCCCGCGCCGCCGUGCCCGGGUGGGCAAGGUGAGAGGCGGGGCUCCGGGAAACAUCACCUGGAGGCGGCCAGGGGCGGACUUUCCCAGAGGAGCCCGACUCCGAGGAGGCGACACAAACGAAUUAAUUGCUUCCAUCAACGCCGCGUUUCAAUCCACCCCAAGCACUCCCUCUCCGAGUACUCAGCCCGCCGGGAUCUUCAGAAAAGAGGUUUUGGGCUCUUCGUGAAACUCCUCCCCGACUUCGAAAUCCGGCACGAUCCCCGAUUCCGACUGCAUGGCUCCCGCUUCCCGUCCUUCCACUGCUCAAAAGUGAGAACAGAGCCUGGGGCGGAGGGAAGGUGGCGGGGCCUGGGUCCCCCGAGCGGUGUGCCCCCGCGCAGUGCCCAGCUCAGCCCGCUUGCCCGCGCGCGGCCACCCGCCCCCGCGCGGCGAGUUUACACUCGCACCCGGGAGGGAGGGGCGGGCGGCCGCGCGCAGCCUGGGAUCUGUAGUUCGGUCCGGACGGGGCGUUCCCGGCUUUCCAGGGGAGCCGCUCCCGUGAAAACUACAACUCCCAGAAGGCCAGGCGGGGGCAGAGGCAACGUGGUGGACACCGCUAUUGCAACUCCUGUUUGGAUUCAUUGUCAAUGUCAGCAGCUCCUCUCCCUCCUCUCUCCUCUCUUGCUUCAAGGAUACGGACGUGGCUAUUUAAUAUUAAUAAGAAUGGCCUCAGCCUUGCUCUCCCACCGUCAGCCCUACUCCCUGUGCAGAUAUUUGCGAGGGCACGCCAAAUACUUUAAAAAAAAAUUUUUUUUUUUUUUUUUUAAUCGUGAAGGGUUUUGGCACUAGAAAGUUUUUGCCUUCAAGCCUGCCUUAAAAUAAAAGGACCUAACUAUCUAUCA